UGAUGAAUGAAUGAUGAUGUUGAGGCCAGGA
rnacentral:piRNA from 1 species